UCUAGCCCCUGGCGCCUGACUCCCAGCCGUUCAUGCCCUGACACACUUCCCCGGUGCCAGGAAAGAAUGGAUGGGGAUCAGGCAUCAGGGACCAGCCCGG
rfam:Cryobacterium roopkundense strain RuG17 contig00001, whole genome shotgun sequence.